rnacentral:tRNA from 1 species
GCGACCGUGGUGAAGUGGAUAUCAUUGGGCCCGCCGAAGGCUUAGGCGCAGGUUCGAUUCCUGCCGGUCGCACCA